UACGAAGGGGGCUAGCGUUGCUCGGAAUCACUGGGCGUAAAGCGCACGUAGGCGGCUUCUUAAGUCAGGGGUGAAAUCCUGGAGCUCAACUCCAGAACUGCCUUUGAUACUGGGAGGCUCGGGUCCGGGAGAGGUGAGUGGAACUGCGAGUGUAGAGGUGAAAUUCGUAGAUAUUCGCAAGAACACCAGUGGCGAAGGCGGCUCACUGGCCCGGUACUGACGCUGAGGUGCGAAAGCGUGGGGAGCAAACAGG
rnacentral:rRNA from 1 species